CCUACGGGAGGCAGCAGUGGGGAAUAUUGCACAAUGGGGGAAACCCUGAUGCAGCGACGCCGCGUGAGUGAAGAAGUAUCUCGGUACGUAAAGCUCUAUCAGCAGGGAAGAAAAUGACGGUACCUGAAUAAGAAGCCCCGGCUAACUACGUGCCAGCAGCCGCGGGAAUACGUAGGGGGCAAGCGUUAUCCGGAUUUACUGGGUGUAAAGGGCGCGUAGACGGCAGCACAAGUCUGGAGUGAAAUCCCGGGGCUUAACCCCGGAACUGCUGUGGAAACUGUGCGGCUGGAGUGCAGGAGGGGUAAGCGGAAUUCCUAGUGUAGCGGUGAAAUGCGUAGAUAUUAGGAGGAACACCGGUGGCGAAGGCGGCUUACUGGACUGUAACUGACGUUGAGGCUCGAAAGCGUGGGGAGCAAACAGGAUUAGAUACCCCAGUAGUC
rnacentral:rRNA from 1 species